AAGCCAUGACGAUAAACGCGCUGAUUGUGAGGCUUGGUCCCUCACACUCCUCUGAUAAUGACGAGUUGUAUAGCGCUUCUGAGCUU